ACAUCACGUUGAAAUACCGGUUCCCGUACGAUCACCGAAGUUAAGCAACGUCAAGCCUGGUCAGUACCUUGAUGGGUGACACCUUGGAAAUUCCACGUGCUGUAAG